CUUUUAUGAUAUCAUGUUAUGAGGAUGAAUUAAGAGGUUUUGCUAUUGGAUUUGAUGUAUUGUUUCAUGUUACGAUGUCCCACCACCACCUAUUUAACUUUUUCAGUUCUGCCAUCAGAAUGUUGGAGUGCCAUUACCAACUCUCUGCACCUCCUCCUGUCUUCCUCCUGGAGUUCUGGGCAAAACUGGAAUGGCUCGGGGAAUUCCUGUUUCAUGUACUGUUGGGUCCACUGAAUCUAAGUUUCUGGCAACAAAAGAACUAGACGGGCAAACAAUUUGAGGUAAGUGUGUGAGGUUAAUUUUUUCUUCGGCUCUCAAUGAAUAAGAGAUCUGAUGCAAAAACAACUCUGGCUAUGGAAGUGGGCCAUGUUGGCCAGGCUGGUCUCGAACUCCUGACCUCAGGUGAUGUGCCUGCCUUGGCCUCCUAAAGUGCCAGGAUUAUAGACAUGAGCCACUGCACCUGGCCAACAGGAUUUACUUUUGUUACAGCAUGUAUAUUUUGGUUGAUCCAGUGGAGUAAUUUCUUUAAUUUCAGCUAGGUGAUCUAGCCGUGGUUCUUAACUAUAUCACUCAGAAAGUAUCCUAAGAUCUGGCUGGGCAUGGUGGCUCAUGCCUGUAAUCCCAGCAGUUUGGGAGGCUGAGGCGGCAGAUCACGUGAGGCCAGGAGUCGGAGAGCAGUCUGGGCAAAUGGUAAAACCCUGUCUCUACUAAAAAUAAGAAAAUUAGCUGGGCGUGGUGGCCCCCCUGUAGUCCCAGCUAUUCGGGAGGCUGAGAUAGGAGAAUCACUUGAACCCGGGAGGCGGAGGUUGCAGUGAGCUGAGAUCGCACCACUACACUCCAACCUGGGUGACUGAGUGAGAUUCUGUCUCAGAAAAAAAAAAUGUAUCCUAAGAUCUGAGCAGUCAAGUUUUUCAUUGCUGCAUCGGUUUGACAGGUGGUGUAUUCUUUUUUUUUUUUUUGAGACGGAGUCUCGCUCUGUCACCCAGGCUGGAGUGCAGUGGCCGGAUCUCAGCUCACUGCAAGCUCCGCCUCCCGGGUUCACGCCAUUCUCCUGCCUCAGCCUCCUGAGUAGCUGGGACUACAGGCGCCUGCCACCUCGCCCGGCUAAGUUUUUGUAUUUUUAGUAGAGACGGGGUUUCACUGUGUUAGCCAGGAUGGUCUCGAUCUCCUGACCUCGUGAUCCGCCCGUCUCGGCCUCCCAAAGUGCUGGGAUUACAGGCUUGAGCCACCGCGCCCGGCCAACAGGUGGUGUAUUCUUUACAUGUCAAUAUCGUAAUGGGGCGUUAAUGCAGGACUGUCUGCCAUGGACCUAAUUGCCAUUCACUUUCAACAAACAUCUCACGAAUUCUUACUAUGUUCCAGAACUUCUCAAUAGAAGGACUCGUUUGUGUCAUAGUGGUGCUCCUUCAACCUUUUCCUGCCUUCCAGGUAUCCAUGUAAAUAUUGCUGUUUGGCAGUUUCUUCUAGAGCUGGAACCCAACAGGGUUUCCCAACUUUACGACUUUCAAAGGGUGGUAUCCCUGCCAACUGACACUAGAGGGCGCCCAACUGCCAGUAACAAAUUUGGGCGCUGGGAUUUAGGGCACUGUUUGAAAACUGGUUUUACUCUUUUCAGUAAAAAACAGUUGCACAACUCCAUCCUCCUCCCAAGGGGGCAUCAAAGGAGGAGACAGUCUAAUGUGGAGUAGACGUUGGUUUGUUUCCAUUAAGGCUUACUUUCUUAAAACCCAGGCUUUCGGAAUAUCCCUGAGAACAGCGAGUAACUUAUUAGUAACUGCAUAUCCUGGUUGUUACAUUUAAUCCCAUCCUGCUCUCAUCCACCACAUCCCUAUCUAAUUCCAUAAUAUCUCAGCAUGAAGCUCUCAAAAGGACUGGCUCCUUUCUAAACCUCAAAGGGCUUACAGACAGACCACUCCUGCUCUCAUUUUGCUCUCUGUUUUGUCUAAUGCCCCUUUUCCUUGAACACAGGCAAGCCUUAUCUCCCAUUUUGGUCCAGGACUAUCUGGCUACAGUGAAUUUGUUUGGUCUCAUUCUGUUAAUUCAGACUCCCUCUAACUCCACCAUUCCUUGUUGUCUGUUCUUUCCCUUCUUUGUUCCUGUUCAGUAUCGAGUUCUUACUCUUGCAUUUUCUAUCCAGGAAGAAGGGUGAAGUAUUUCUCAAGUGUUGACUAUGUGUCAGUUACUUUUCUUUAUGUCACUUACACCAUCGCAUGCAGAAGCUGGUAUGAAUAGCCCCAUUUUACGGAUGAGUACACUGAGGUUCAGGGUCAAGUCACCUGCCAGAGGUUGUGUACCUUGGAAGUAGUCAAGCUGGGAUUCAGUUCUAGGGUUUUUGGAUUUCCCUUUUUCUGCUACCACCCUCCUUCCUUAGAUUUUUUUUUUUUUUGAGAUGGAGUCUUGCUCAGACGCCCAGGCUGGAGUGCGGUGGCGCGAUCUUGGCUCACUGCAAGCUCCGCCUUCCGGGUUCAUGCCAUUCUCCUGCCUCAUUGGGACUACAAGUGCCCACCACUACGCCCGGCUAAUUUUUCUGUAUUUUUAGUAGAGACGGGGUUUCACCAUGUUAGCCAGGAUGGUCUUGAUCUCCUGACCUCGUGAUCCGCCCGUCUCGGCCUCCCAAAGUGCUGGGACCUUAGAUUUUUAUACUGUUUAAUAUUGUCAUCAGUGCUUCCAGUCAUAUUCCUUGUUUUUUUUCCUUGGUUUUGUCACAUGAAAGUUUAUCCAAAAUUCAUAAUUCAUGAUCAAAACUAGCUAAAGACAUUAUAAAACUGAAAAAGGACCUCAAUUCGGAUAGAAUUGUCCCUCCUACCCUCAUUAUAUCUCAGAACUUAAACCCAAAUUUGAGAUAGGAGUAGCUUUAGUCAUUAAGUAAAACCGGUUCUCAGUUCAGCCCGCAUUAUGAGACUUCACUUGAGGAGUCACUCCAGAGUAGCUAAUAUACAAGAUUUUUUUUUUUUUUUUUUCGUGUCUUGCUAUGUAGCUCAGGCUGGAGUACAGUGGUGUAAUCACGGUUCACUGGAGCCUUGACCUCUGGACUUAAGCAAUCCUCCCACCUCAGCCUUCAGGCUUCAUAUAAAUGUAGACGCACCAAACUGAAAAUUGAAUCUCUUCUAAUAGUCUUCAUUUUCUACUUGUCUAAUGCAGUUCUAAAGGAGAAAAUAGCCAUAGAAAUUUCUGAUAUUUAUUAUGAGUAGAUAAUUUUUAAAAACAGCUUAAUUGGGAUAUAAUUCAUAUACCAUACAAUUUACCCAAUAGUGUACAAAGCUGGGCAUUAUAGUGUACAAAGCUGGUUCCGUGGCUUCCAUCCAUCUCUCUUGCUGUGGUCACUUGAGGUGGGAGUAUCCUUUAGCCCAGGAGUCCAGCCUGGGCAACAUAGUGAGAUACUGUCUCUAAAAACAAACAAACAAACAAACAAAAUACACAGUUCAAUAGUGUUUAGUAUAUCCAGA
rnacentral:lncRNA from 1 species